CAGAGGGUGCAAGCGUUGUUCGGAAUUACUGGGCGUAAAGCGCGCGCAGGCGGAUCCUGUAAGUCGGAAGUGAAAUUUCGGAGCUCAACUCCGAAGCUGCUUCUGAUACUGCGGAUCUGGAGAUCGGUAGAGGUCGGUAGAAUUACAGGUGUAGCGGUGGAAUGCGUAGAUAUCUGUAAGAAUACCCGUGGCGAAGGCGGCCGACUGGGCCGGAUCUGACGCUGAGGCGCGAAAGCGUGGGGAGCAAACAGGAUUAGAUACCCUGGUAGUCCACGCCGUAAACGAUGGGCACUAGGUGCCGGGGGGAGCGACCCCUUCGGUGCCGCAGCUAACGCGAUAAGUGCCCCGCCUGGGAGUACGGCCGCAAGGCUG
rnacentral:rRNA from 1 species